CCGGUGACAGCGGCCGGGCCCCGCCUCCAUUGAGCCCCAGAAAGCUCGCAGUCGAACCCCGACCCACCGCCACGCCCCCUUUCUGGAAAGGAUCCGCGGCGGCUGCAGCUGCCAAGGCAGCGCAGCCGGACCUCCCUGCCCGGGCGCCCCCCGGGUCCUAGCACCCAGCGCUCGCCUAGCGCUUUGUGUAAAAGAUCCAGACGGUUGCAUCAGGACCGAGGACCGAGAUCUCUGGAAAAGCCAGGGAGUGCAAUGGCCAUCCCGUGUUUCAUCAUUCAGGCGGGGCCACAGGAAAUCUGGCCUGGCAGCAGUGCUCAGAGGCUAACAGUGGUUGCUGAGGGUGGGAGACCCACUUAUGGAGACAAAUUUAUGGAUUAAAAAAAGAAAUCAGGGGAUCCAGGAGACAUCUUAAAGACAGCUGCAGAAUGGAAUAGUUUGUGAGCCACUGGGACUUUCAAGGCCUUCUCUUCCCAUUCUUCAAGCUCUGUCGCUUGUUGGAGCCUUAAAGACACCAGAUUGCUUAACAAUGGGGAUAUAAAAAUUAAAAAUAAUAAAAGACACUGGAUCAAGGCGGCUAGUUGUUCUUGGAGGGCUGGAGUAGAUGACAUACUCUUGAAAUCACUCUUACAGAGGUGACCUGCAUGGGUGUGUCUUCCUGCUGGCCAGAGAGAAGAUCUGAAUUAAUCCAUCAGGAACAUUCACAUUUCCUCCAGGCUGAUUUGGGCGGGACACCUAAACACCCUAAGGAAACAAGAGUUACGAUGUUUUUUCUUCUUCUUCUUCUUUUUUUUUUUUUUUUUGAGAUGGGGUCUCACUCUUUCACCCAGGCUGGAGUGCAGUGGUGCGAUCUUGGCUCACUGCAAGCUCCGCCUCCCGGGUUCACAC
rnacentral:lncRNA from 10 species